rnacentral:rRNA from 1 species
AUUUUCUUUAAAUUCAAAGAAUUUGGCGGUGAUUCAGUCUAGUCAGAGGAACCUGCUUUUUAAUCGAUACAACACGUAAGAACUUACUUGUUUUUGUUUAGCUUGUAUACCAUCAUUAUCAGAUAAUUUUAUAAAAAAUAAAUUAUUAAAAAUAAUUAUGUUAGUAAAAUUAGAUCAAGGUGCAGCUUAUAGAUAAGUUAAAGUGGGUUACAAUAAGGUUUACUUAGACGAAGUAAAAUUAGUUAUGAAUUUUAGGAAGGAGGAUUUGAUUGUAAUAUAAGAUUUAAUAAGUUUAGGAGAUAGAAGCUCUGAAUUGUGUACACAUCGCC